ACGGAAGGCAGCAGUGGGGAAUAUUGGGCAAUGGGCGCAAGCCUGACCCAGCAAUGCCGCGUGAAGGAAGAAGGCUUUCGGGUUGUAAACUUCUUUUAAGUGGGAUGAUAAUGACGGUACCACUUGAAUAAGCUCCGGCUAACUACGUGCCAGUAGCCGCGGUAAUACGUAGGGAGCAAGCGUUAUCCGGAUUUACUGGGUGUAAAGGGCGUGUAGGCGGGACGACAAGUCAGAUGUGAAAGCACAGGGCUCAACUCUGUGUCUGCACUUGAAACUGCCGUUCUUGAGUGUUGGAGAGGCUAACGGAACUCCUAGUGUAGCGGUGAAAUGCGUAGAUAUUAGGAAGAACACCAGUGGCGAAGGCGGUUAGCUGGACAAUAACUGACGCUGAGGCGCGAAAGCGUGGGUAGCAAACAGGAUUAGAUACCCUGGUA
rnacentral:rRNA from 1 species